UCUGCUGCAUUAUAUAAUAGCUCCCAAUGUUUUUGAUUGUUGCUCAGAAAGCCGUGCCAUUUCACAUUUUUGGCUGACGUCAAAAAAUCACAACUGGCUUUCGAGAAAUAAUCAGAAUCACAAAAGAGCCUCGAAUCAACGUGUCUAAU
rnacentral:precursor_RNA from 11 species